CAUGAAGACAGAUCAUGCCUCUCCAAGACCCUCAGAUCCCCUUCAUCCUCUGCAAGUACCUCUGCUGAUUGAGAUGCUUACUCAUAGGGAUAUCCAGAUGUCACAUGUCCAUAAAGGGUCUGAGCACCUGGUUACCUUGCCCUAGAAAGGCACCUGUCCAACUCCUCUUCUCCUCCCCAAGAUGCAGAGAUUUGAGCUGAAAGUAAGGAAUUUGUGCUCAAGAGGUAUAGUGGAUAGUGUCCUGUGUCAUCCAAGAAGAGACCACAGAGCCUGCGGAACUGAUACAGAGAAGAAGGCCAUGUGAAGACAGAGGCGGACUGGAGUGAUGCUGCCACAAGCCAAGGAACACCUGGAGUCACUAGUAGCCGGAAGAGGUCACACCCAAGGCACCACUGGGGUCUCUUCUGACCAGAUGAUGAAAUGGGAGAAAAAGGAUGUCAAUCCUUUGAAGAGUUCCAGCCAGCCUAAACUGCUCCACAAGAUGGCAUGGAGGAGACAAUGUCUACCAAAGCAACAAGUAAUGUGCUGAUGAGAGGGGUAUCAGCAUCGUUAAGAAGUUCAGUGGUGGCUGCCCUCUGUAAGCCAGAACUGACACUAGGAGAUGCCAUUACAGAACUGGGAUUGCUGAGAGAAAAGCGGACAAUCAGAUUCUGAAACAGUAAGGCAGGUGAUGAUGCAAACCAUCAGAAGCCAAGUGAUACAAUUAUUAUAAUCAGAAGAGUGGUCAGAGUGGCAGCCAGAGGGUUGCAAUCUGGCUCGAAGAGAUCUGAACCAUGAGGACAUUUUGUGGAAUGUAACAUGGGUCCACUAUAUAGAUGACAUCAUGGUAAUCUGGCUAGAUGAGCAAAAAGUGGCUGACACUUUGGAGGCCUUCUUAAGCCUAGUGUGGCACCAAGAAUAUGGUAGAUGCUCAGCAAAACUGAAGAAAGGGUGGCAGGAAGUGAAAACUCAACUCCUGAGUUCCUGCAUAUAUGACCCAGUGAAGAAUUAUUUCUGUCUGAAAGGAGAAAGGAUUCUGGGGAGACAGCAGGGCCCGAACCACCAUGAAUCUGUCUCCCCACCUAGACAACAAUGGCACUAGCAGAAUCUGUCUGAUGUAACUAUUUUGGAACUCUGGAGUCUAUUGAAGGCUUGCAACUUCCAGGGGAAGGUUUCGAAGGCAUGUCUUUCCAGCUGGGCCAGACUGAAAUCUCAAUCUUGUGACCACUGCGUUUUUCCAAAGAUGACUGCAAAAUCUCUCCUAUCCCACGUGCUCUUCUUACAAUGUGACCUUGAUGUUCUCCCAUCAAGUGUUGGGGUCCAUGUUCCUUCCCCUAGAACCUGGGCAGAGUUUUCUGUCUUGACUAAUAAACUCUGAUGGAAGUCACACUAAGCAACUCUUAAGACUAGAAAAUAAGAAUGCCAUGCUCUUCUACCUGCUUUCUUAGAGACGCCUACGAUUGGAAUCCAGCUGUCAUACUGUGAAGAAAUCCAAACUCACCCAGGUGGAGAGACCAACAGAGAGGCCACAUAUAGAUACUUUGGGUAAACAUUCAGCUGAGGUCUCAGCCAAUAACUAAUCAGCUGCUAGACACGUGAGUGAACCUGUCUUUAGAUACCUCCAUCUCCCAGCUGUGAAGCCACCAUUAUCCUUUGAGGCCCAGAGAAGAUCCUAAACACAGUAGAGAGAAGCCAUCCCCACGAUGCUCUGUCUGAAUUCCUGACCCACAAAAUUGAUGAACCUAAUAAUAUGAUUAUUUUGUACCACUAAGUUUGGAGCCUUUUGUUAAGCAACAAUAAAUAACUAUACAGGUUGUUAGAAUAAAUACCCUGGUUCACUCUCCUCCCUCAAUCUUCUGUUAGUACACCCCACAGGCCAAACCAACUGGAAUCCAGAGAGCAGGGGAGCCCACCGAAACAAACCA
ensembl:lncRNA